rfam:Arthrobacter sp. PAMC25486, complete genome.
GUCACCGUGAGGUGGGGUGGGAAGGAAGCCGGAGGCAAAACCCUGCACCGAGCGACACAAACCGCAUAGCAGGCAUGCUGGUUGGGGCCACCCGCAGCUGUU